rnacentral:rRNA from 1 species
UACGUAGGGGGCUAGCGUUGUCCGGAAUCAUUGGGCGUAAAGCGCGUGUAGGCGGUCCGGUAAGUCCGCUGUGAAAGUCGGGGGCUCAACCCUCGAAUGCCGGUGGAUACUGUCGGGCUAGAGUGCGGAAGAGGCGAGUGGAAUUCCUGGUGUAGCGGUGAAAUGCGCAGAUAUCAGGAGGAACACCUAUUGCGAAGGCAGCUCGCUGGAACGGUACUGACGCUGAGGCGCGAAAGCGUGGGGAGCGAACAGG